rnacentral:snoRNA from 1 species
GGGCAUACCUAUAGACCUUGCCUGACUGUGCUCAUGGCCAGGCAGCGGGGGGACAUUGUAUGUGAGAUUAAUUUGAAGUUCCUACCAGCUUUAGCCAGCUUAAUCAGUGGCCAGAUAAAUAGCAGGACUGUAACAUUC